CUUUGGUAAGAGGAAGAAAGGAGAACAAAGAAGAAGAAGAGAGGAGAAGAAAAGAAGGGAAGAGAGAGAAAUUGCGGUAGAGAUUGCUAGAGGAUUCAGCAAAGAGGAAACCCAAAUAGCCGUGAAAGAGUUCCUCGGCACCAGGAGAGAUUGUGGGGCCUGAUAUUCACUAUGAGGAGAGCAGUCAGCUGCAUGCUGAUAAUUCAGAGCAUGAUGACGUGGUUAUAGAUCAGUUGGCUUCGUAUUCUGGAUUUUGAUGAUUUCCGCCAUGGGCAUGACUGCGAAUGUGAUGAUUGUGCAUAUGGUGGACAGCAAUAUUGAGAACAGAUGUAUUGGAUUAUGCUUUUGUGUAUAUAUGUGGAUAGUAUUGAAAAAAUCAGUUUUUGUUCAUACAUGUUGGAGGGAAAAACAACUGUUGGAAGAAAUUUUGUGUAAAUAUUUGUUUUAGAAUGGGAUUAAUGUAUAUAUAUAUAUAUGGAUUACUUUAUAUGUUGUUGUGAUUCAUUGUAUAUAUGGUAUCAAGUAUCACAUAGAAGCACUGGGUGGAUAUAUCUAUAUUUGAUUUUA